rnacentral:rRNA from 1 species
UACGGAGGGUGCGAGCGUUGUUCGGAAUCACUGGGCGUAAAGCGCGUGUAGGCGGCCUGUUAAGUCUGGUGUGAAAGCCCGGGGCUCACCCCCGGAAGGGCACUGGAAACUGGCAAGCUCGAGUCCCGGAGAGGAGGGUGGAAUUCCUGGUGUAGCGGUGAAAUGCGUAGAUAUCAGGAGGAACACCGGAGGCGAAGGCGGCCCUCUGGACGGUGACUGACGCUGAGACGCGAAAGCGUGGGGAGCAAACAGG